UCUAGCUUGCUAGAAGAUGACGAGCGGCGGACGGGUGAGUAAUGCUUGGGAAUAUGCCUUAUGGUGGGGGACAACAGUUGGAAACGACUGCUAAUACCGCAUAAUGUCUACGGACCAAAGGGGGGGAUCUUCGGACCUCUCGCCAUUUGAUUAGCCCAAGUGAGAUUAGCUAGUUGGUGAGGUAAUGGCUCACCAAGGCGACGAUCUCUAGCUGGUUUGAGAGGAUGAUCAGCCACACUGGGACUGAGACACGGCCCAGACUCCUACGGGAGGCAGCAGUGGGGAAUAUUGCACAAUGGGCGCAAGCCUGAUGCAGCCAUGCCGCGUGUGUGAAGAAGGCCUUCGGGUUGUAAAGCACUUUCAGUAAGGAGGAAAGGGAUGUAGUUAAUAACUGCAUUCUGUGACGUUACUUACAGAAGAAGCACCGGCUAACUUCGUGCCAGCAGCCGCGGUAAUACGAGGGGUGCAAGCGUUAAUCGGAAUUACUGGGCGUAAAGCGUUCGUAGGCGGUUGAUUAAGCAAGAUGUGAAAGCCCAGGGCUCAACCUUGGAACUGCAUUUUGAACUGGUCAACUAGAGUACUGUAGAGGGUGGUGGAAUUUCCAG
rnacentral:rRNA from 1 species